rnacentral:rRNA from 1 species
UACGGGGGGGGCAAGCGUUGUUCGGAAUUACUGGGCGUAAAGGGCUCGUAGGCGGCCAACUAAGUCAGACGUGAAAUCCCUCGGCUUAACCGGGGAACUGCGUCUGAUACUGGAUGGCUUGAAUCCGGGAGAGGGAUGCGGAAUUCCAGGUGUAGCGGUGAAAUGCGUAGAUAUCUGGAGGAACACCGGUGGCGAAGGCGGCAUCCUGGACCGGUAUUGACACUGAGGCGCGAAAGCCAGGGGAGCAAACGGG